GUUUGUAAUAUAUAAUUAAUCACCGGUAAGUUCGUAUAUAAGACAGAUCUUACACUACCAUGGUUAGUGUUUUAACCAGUUUCACAAAAUCAUCUGAAAAUGCAAGCUGUUUUUCUGAUUACAAUGGUGUUGGCGCUUUUCGCAUUGGCGUUUGCCAAUCCGUCACCAAACCCCAAUCCGAUGCCCAGACCAAAACCACAAUACUGGGGAUUUGGAUAUGGAAUGGGAAUGCCCUACUAUGGAAUGGGUUAUGGUUACUACUAUUAAAUUGUUGUCUCCGACUCUGUAUAUGAAACGUACUCUCAUUUUUGUUUAUUAAAUUUGUCUUGCUGUUUCGAA